UUCCAAUUCAAGCUCCAGGCAACUGCUCAUCUGCUUCCUGUCACUGUGUAUUAUUCUUCUCUCUCCAGCGUUUCUUUUACAAGGAGCCAUACAGACUAUAGAGAAAUAGAAAACACACACACAGAGAUUGUCAGUGUGUUAGCUCACUCCCAGAGGGAUACCGAGGCCAGGACUGGACCCGCUGAAGCUGAGAGGCAGCAGCUUCACCUGGAGUCCCCGUGUUGGAUCAGCGCCAUCUUUCACUGCUCCCACAGAUCCUCGCUAUGGCAUGGAAGAGCAACAGAGGAUGGCAAAUGCCUUGAAAUGCUGCGCCUGUAUGAGAGACCCGCAAGCGGCUCUUGGCUCCUAACUUCA